GUUUACUUGGAGUUUAAUAGGAUUGUUGGAAGAAAUCUUAAAGAAGAAUUCUUCAGUGUUCUUGAUGACUUGAGUCCGAGCUUCAUGGAAAUCUUCAAGAGGAAGACAGGUCGGAUAGGCAAGCAGUUGGCUGACCUGCUACAACAGACAACGAGCACUGAGCCAACAGCCAUUAGAAGCCUUGUUCUGAGAGGACUUCCAGUCAUUCUUGGGGAUGAUGCGUCCAUGUUCUUUAAUAGCAGUUCGAAUCCUGAUGAGGGAGACUCCGUGGACAUUCCAGUGGGAAUCCUCUGCUAUGAAGACAACAGCACUGCAAGCCCAGCAUCACCACAACUAAACCCUUCAAGAGUGGGGAUCAUCCUAGAGGACAGCACUGUAAUGGACACACUUACCAACCGACCUCAAGCAAUGUGCCUCUUGUUUGGCUUUACCUACGCACUCCACCUACAGUACCCGAAGUGCAUGAAAAACACCUUCAUCUUCAUGCAGCAGGUCAUGCUAAAUUUAGGCCGAAGAGAGCUACCUCCAAAGAUUCAAAAGCUGAAGAAUGAGCUUGCAGUGUAAGACACAUUUCAUGCUCAAGGCACAACUCUUCAUGCACAUGUUUGGAUUAUUGUACAAUGAUAUUGCACUGACUGCCACAAAUACUUUUGCAGUUGUUCAUUUUGUAUGCGAUUCUUCUUGUCCUAGAUGUGUCUAGUAUUGUUGGUUUUACUCAAACUGUUUUACAGGGGACAUAUUUUUGAAAGUUGCAGGUUUAUUAACCAUCUCUGGUCCUCACUGCAUAGUUGUUGUUAUUGCUUCUGUUCUUAAUACCUGUGUUGUUGUGUGGCACACAAAGCGUACAGUUUUUCUAUGUGCACUUGCAGUACAAUGUAUGCUGCUACAUGGUCAGUUUUUCUCUCUUUUUUCCAAACUUGAAAAUUGUUCACAGAACAAACAAUUUAAAACCUGAGCUGUGUAUUUGAAAGUGAAUUGUUUAAUAAUUUAAUAUACAUGUUCUAUUUCUGCAUCAUAAAAAGGUACUGUAGUAAGGUAACAACAAAAACUGUUGAAACUGGUGGCAAAAGCCCAUUUUGGGAAUUUUCCAAAGACAAGGUCAUGUUGUUAUUGUAGAUUUUCAUCUGGAAUUUCACAUAGAGCAUCAAA